AAAGGAAUAGACGGGGACCCGCACAAGCAGUGGAGUAUGUGGUUUAAUUCGAAGCAACGCGAAGAACCUUACCAGGGCUUGACAUCCUACGCUAUUCCAAGAGAUUGGGAGUUCCCUUCGGGGACGUAGAGACAGGUGGUGCAUGGUUGUCGUCAGCUCGUGUCGUGAGAUGUUGGGUUAAGUCCCGCAACGAGCGCAACCCUUACUGUCAGUUGCUACAUUAAGUUGAGCACUCUGGCAGGACUGCCGUUGAUAAAACGGAGGAAGGUGGGGACGACGUCAAAUCAUCAUGCCCCUUAUGUCCUGGGCGACACACGUACUACAAUGGCGAAGAACAGAGGGAAGCAAAGCAGCGAUGCAGAGCAAACCCCAAAAAAUCGUCUCAGUUCAGAUUGUAGGCUGCAACCCGCCUGCAUGAAGUCGGAAUUGCUAGUAAUCGCGGAUCAGCAUGCCGCGGUGAAUACGUUCCCGGGUCUUGUACACACCGCCCGU
rnacentral:rRNA from 1 species